CAGGCUGGAGGGGGCUUUGGGCAACCUGGUCUGGUGGGAGGUGUCCCUGCCCAUGGCAGGGGGAUGGAACCAGGUGAUGUUUAAGCUUUCUUUUAACCCCAACCAUUACAUGGUUCUGUGAUUCUUGACAGCGUAUCAUGUUCAAGAUAUUGAGCAAGCCAUGAUAAAUUUGUAUUUCUAUUUAGUAUUUUGUAAAAUGUAUAUUCCUAAAAUUCUAGUUGCAUUUACAGUGAAAAUUAAAAUACUUUGAAUUGAUAGUCUCAUACAGAAUUAUUUCUUCCACCCAAAUGGAGAACCAUUCUCCUGCAAAAGCAUAGCUAUGUGCAAGCAAAUUUCUCACUUUCAGGGAGCAUGUAUGAUUGUGUUAGCAUCAUUUGCACCUUGCAUAGCAUCCUCCUGCAGGUCAGAAAGUUCAUUGUGAGUAGCAAUAGAUUGCAUUUUGGGUAUCCGAGAUGCUCCCAAAACUUUGUGGUUGCUUUAUGGUAACUGCAUACGUCUAUAUAUCUGAGCUUUUACUGCACAGAUAUUGAGUUAAAAAAAAUAAAACAUGUAAUGAAAUCAUUUGCAUGAGUGGUAGAAAUUCCCAGGAAAUAUUAAAAAAAAAAAAAAUCCUACUGGACUUCAUAAAUAGCUUAGAGUAGAUGAGUACAAUCUGAUGUACAGAAGAGAGAUGUUUCCAAUUCGAGAAAAAAAUCCCAUUUAAGGAAUUUAAUGUAAUUUAGGAAACUAUGAUAUGCUUUGAUCAUCCCUUAUUGAACUUGUUACAGAGAGAAAACAUGUUAUCUUUCAGCAGCUUGCUGAAAGUGGGCCCAUUUCUACUUUCAUGACAGUGGGGCAGGGGAUGGUUCUGCUCUGGAAAGGAAGGGGAGGGAGGGAAGUUGGAAUAGGGAUGAGGAAAGGCAAAAACAAAGGACUUUGUUCCUGCUGGACAUGCAGCCAGGCAGAGUUUGCAAAUGCACUCUUGUUUCUAUACACUAUGAGCUAUUGUGCUAUGAACAAGCAUACUACAAUACCAAGUGAUUCAGGUUCUGGACACUGGUGGACAUUUUGCUGCUGGAAAGUUGUAAAAUUAGUCACUUGUUCAGCUGCAAGAACAACAGCAUUAAAAUGUUUCAUCUUAUAAAAACUAGUAGCAAACUAAAAUACUAAAAACUGUGCCUGUCCUUCAAUUCAAGCUGAACUUCCAGAGCUUGAACUUGAAGACGGUGACAGGAUUUGCCCUUUUUCUAUACAGUUUCCAGAAGGACAAGAUAUAAUUCUUUCCUCAGAUGGCACAAAUAUGGAACUAAACUGUCACAUUGGCUUCAGAUCAUCUAGGUCAAUUUCAUCUUUAGGGAGCAUAUUCUUCACUGAUGAAGAAGAACAAAACAGGCAAGGAAGAAGAGGAGGUGAAGUGGGAAUUUACAGAAAGAGCGUAAGCUAUGGCUUUGCUCCUCUGUGACUUCAAGGCUGUUUUUGUUAGUGGCAAGGAAACUCUUGCAUGCCUAGGCAGAACAAAAAAUGGCCAGGGAUACAGAUAUUCUUAAAGAACAAGAUAGGUGUAUGGACUAGAAUGUACUAACAACCCCGUAUUUUGGGGCAGGAAGAAUCAGGAACUAGCCCACUCCUUUUGCUACAAUAUUGGAAUCUGCUGAGGUAAAGGUACAUCCAGGUGCAUUCUCAAUACUUACAGCUCUUGUAUAGUUUGCAGCUGAACACAUCAAAUUAGAGCUAAUGAAGAAGUUACUGUCCUCAGUAGGACUGGACUGUGAAAGCCCCUAUCCUGAUGUAUAUUUUACUUUAACUGGAGUAGAAGAUUCAAAACACUAUGACUAGUGUCUUCCCAAACCCUGUGUUACCCACAGAGAGAAGCAUAUGCAGAAGGUGCUAUUGAAAUUAGUCUUAAAAAAAAAAAAAAGCAUUACUUUCAACAAGCAACAAAAAAUAACCAAGUAAAGCUAGAUGGUCUCUUGGCUCCACCCUUGUGAAGUGAAACCUGCCAGGUGUGGAUCAUUUGACUUUUGGUAUAUAGGAAGCCUGAGGACUUGUGGGGAAUUGCCUUCCUGGUGGGGAGUUUGAGGCUCAGGUUCUCUAGGGUGCUUUUCUGCUGUUGUGGUGAAGCGGAUUCAGUGUUCCCUGGUGGGCUGCUUUUUCUUCACGUUUUCUCCCAUCUCUGUGAAAUAGUUUCAGUGACUCUAUGAGUUAGCGAUGUUGUUGUUGCCCUCUCAGUGUGGUGAGACCCUGGUGGUGCAAAGUCACUGUGAAGCAGUGUGGAAGUGACUCAAGUUCAGGAGCUGGCAGUGAAAUUACUUCCGUGGCUUCUAAGCUCCCUUUCAAGCUCUUCCAAAUAUAAUGAUAAUGAAAGCUAAGAAGAAAGCCCCACCAACUCAGAAGCUCAAGUGCUUACAGGCCUGCGUCUCGGCUGUGGAGAAAGAUUUGGAAGAUCGCGCCGAGGUCACAUCGCGGAGGUUCCCGCGCCGAGGUGUCGUGGUUUAACCCGGCCGGCAGCUAAACACCACGCAGCCGUUCGCUCACCCUCCCCCCUCCCUCUCUGGGACGGGGGAGAGAAAUGGAAAGUGAAGC